rnacentral:rRNA from 1 species
AACUUUGGUUGGGCGACCGGCGCACGGGUGCGUAACGCGUAUGCAACCACCUUUAACUAGGGGGAUAACACUGAGAAAUUGGUACUAAUUCCCCACUAACAUUCGAGAAGGCAUCUUCUUGGGUUAAAAACUCCGGUGGUUAAAGAUGGGCAUGCGUCGUAUUAGCUAGUUGGUGAGGUAACGGCUCACCAAGGCAACGAUACAUAGGGGGACUGAGAGGUUAACCCCCCACAUUGGUACUGAGACACGGACCAA